UACGUAGGGGGCUAGCGUUGUCCGGAUUUAUUGGGCGUAAAGAGCGUGUAGGCGGCCAGGUAGGUCUGGUGUGAAAACUCGAGGCUUAACCUCGAGAUGUCAUCGGAAACCAUCUGGCUAGAGUCCGGAAGAGGAGAGUGGAAUUCCUGGUGUAGCGGUGAAAUGCGUAGAUAUUGGGAAGAACACCCGUGGCGAAGGCGGCUCUCUGGGACGGUACUGACGCUGAGACGCGAAAGCGUGGGGAGCGAACAGG
rnacentral:rRNA from 1 species